rnacentral:rRNA from 1 species
CCAAUAGCGUAUAUUAAAGUUGCUGCAGUUAAAAAGCUCGUAGUUGAAUUUCGGGACCGAUAUGUCGGUCGUGCCUCGGUACGUACUGGCAUCGUCGGUUUCUACCUUCUGACGAACCAUGAUGUCAUUAAUUUGGUGUCUUGGGGAAUCAGGACUGUUACUUUGAAAAAAUUAGAGUGUUUAAAGCAGGCUCACGCUGGAAUACAUUAGCAUGGAAUAAUGAAAUAGGACGUUUGAUUCUAUUUUGUUGGUUUCUAGGAUCGACGUAAUGAUUAAUAGGGAUAGUUGGGGGCAUUAGUAUUCAAUUGUCAGAGGUGAAAUUCUUGGAUUUAUUGAAGACUAACUACUGCGAAAGCAUUUGCCAAGGAUGUUUUCAUUAAUCAAGAACGAAAGUUAGGGGAUCGAAGACGAUCAGAUACCGUCGUAGUCUUAACCAUAAACUAUGCCGACUAGGGAUCGGAUGAUGUUAAUUUUUUAAUGACUCAUUCGGCGCCUUACG